GAUGAACGCUGGCGGCGUGCCUAAUACAUGCAAGUCGAGCGAACGGACGAGAAGCUUGCUUUUCUGAUGUUAGCGGCGGACGGGUGAGUAACACGUGGAUAACCUACCUAUAAGACUGGGAUAACUUCGGGAAACCGGAGCUAAUACCGGAUAAUAUUUUGAACCGCAUGGUUCAAAAGUGAAAGACGGUCUUGCUGUCACUUAUAGAUGGAUCCGCGCUGCAUUAGCUAGUUGGUAAGGUAACGGCUUACCAAGGCAACGAUGCGUAGCCGACCUGAGAGGGGGAUCGGCCACACGGGAGCGGAGCCACGGUCAAGACUCCUACGGGAGGCAGCAGUAGGGAAUCUUCCGCAAUGGGCGAAAGCCUGACGGAGCAACGCCGCGUGAGUGAUGAAGGUCUUCGGAUCGUAAAACUCUGUUAUUAGGGAAGAACAUAUGUGUAAGUAACUGUGCACAUCUUGACGGUACCUAAUCAGAAAGCCACGGCUAACUACGUG
rnacentral:rRNA from 1 species